rnacentral:rRNA from 1 species
UACAUAGGGUGCAAGCGUUUGUCCGGAAUUAUUGGGCGUAAAGAGCUCGUAGGUCGUUUGUUACGUCGGAUGUGAAAACCUGAGGCUCAACCUCAGGCCUGCAUUCGAUACGGGCAAACUAGAGUUUGGUAGGGGAGACUGGAAUUCCUGGUGUAGCGGUGGAAUGCGCAGAUAUCAGGAGGAACACCAAUGGCGAAGGCAGGUCUCUGGGCCAAUACUGACACUGAGGAGCGAAAGUCUGGGGAGCGAACAGG